ACGCCACACCCCCACGGGACUUCAACAGUGACAGACAUUAAGCCAUGGGCGAAACAGACCAAUAAAGCCUGACUUAGUUAUAAUCAAUCAGGGCCGGCAAAUCUCGUGCCAGCCGCCGCGGUUAUACGAGAGGCCCAAAACAACAGCAAACGGCGUAAAUUGUGGCUAGAAUAACAGCUAAUAAGUAAGAAAUAAACCACUACCUUACCGUAAAACACAGGUAAAAUGAAAUCUCUUACCUAAGCAAUUUGAACCCACGAAAACUAAGAAACAAACUAGGAUUAGAUACCCUACUAUGCUUAGUUGUAAAUAAGACGACCCCCCCCCCAACAUAAGCGUCCGCCAGAGGACUACAAGCGAAAAGCUUAAAACUCAAAAGACUUGGCGGUGUCCCAAACCCGACUUAGAGGAGCCUGUCCUAUAAUCGAUAACCCACGAUAAACCCGACCACCCCUUGCCAACCAGCCUAUAUACCGCCGUCGCAAACCUACCUUACAAAAGAACAACAGUAGGUAUAACAGUAAAACCACUAAAACGUCAGGUCAAGGUGUAGCUAAUGAGGUGGAAGAGAUGGGCUACAUUCUUUAACAUAAAGCAGACAGAAAAGGCCAUGAAAUAGGCCUCAAAAGGAGGAUUUAACAGUAAGUU
rnacentral:rRNA from 1 species